rnacentral:rRNA from 1 species
AGGAGCACGAAGGUUGGCUAAUCCUGGUCGGACAUCAGGAGGUUAGUGCAAUGGCAUAAGCCAGCUUGACUGCGAGCGUGACGGCGCGAGCAGGUGCGAAAGCAGGUCAUAGUGAUCCGGUGGUUCUGAAUGGAAGGGCCAUCGCUCAACGGAUAAAAGGUACUCCGGGGAUAACAGGCUGAUACCGCCCAAGAGUUCAUAUCGACGGCGGUGUUUGGCACCUCGAUGUCGGCUCAUCACAUCCUGGGGCUGAAGUAGGUCCCAAGGGUAUGGCUGUUCGCCAUUUAAAGUGGUACGCGAGCUGGGUUUAGAACGUCGUGAGACAGUUCGGUCCCUAUCUGCCGUGGGCGCUGGAGAACUGAGGGGGGCUGCUCCUAGUACGAGAGGACCGGAGUGGACGCAUCACUGGUGUUCGGGUUGUCAUGCCAAUGGCACUGCCCGGUAGCUAAAUGCGGAAGAGAUAAGUGCUGAAAGCAUCUAAGCACGAAACUUGCCCCGAGAUGAGUUCUCCCUGAGACUUUAGGUCUCCUGAAGGAACGUUGAAGACGACGACGUUGAUAGGCCGGGUGUGUAAGCGCAGCGAUGCGUUGAGCUAACCGGUACUAAUGAACCGUGAGGCUUAACCUU